UACGUAGGGGGCAAGCGUUGUCCGGAUUUACUGGGCGUAAAGGCGCGACGCAGGCGGCGGCGUAUCGCGCCCCGGGCGUGAAAAGCCCCCGGGCUCAACCGGGGGAGGGUCGUCGGGGGACGGGUGCGGCUUGAAGGACGGCAGGGGCAGGUGGAAGUUCCCGGUGUGAGUGGUGAAAUGCGUAGAGAUACGGGAGGAACACCCGUGGCGAAGGCGGCCUGCUGGGCCGAUCCGUGACGCUGGAGGCGCGAAGGCGUGGGGAGCGAACGGG
rnacentral:rRNA from 1 species